CUCCCUCUUCCUCUCUCUCAUACUCAGCCUUAUUUCCUGUAUUGUCAUAGCAGAGAUAAUAAUGCUGUUAUUAAAUAUCUAAGCAGAUUCCUGAAACACAGUAUUUUUGGACCAAAGGAGGGAGGAGUUUCCCAAUGGCAGAGAGAGGGGAAGGAAGGCUCAUUGUAAGGUUCAGGUCUGAGCAAUAAAUACUGGGAAGACAGUGUCAGAUGGCAGAGGUCACAAACCAGGGUCUGGUUGGCCUGUGAGCACUCCAUGCCC